rnacentral:misc_RNA from 1 species
CCUAUUGAACAAUCCAGACCUUGUGGCAACAGAUGCAGUCAUUUCUUUUAAGACAGCAAUAUGGUUCUGGAUGACUGCACAAUCUCCAAAGCCCUCUUGCCACGAUGUUAUCACUGGCCGAUGGUCACCCUCCGCUGCUGAUAGGUCAGCCGGAAGAGUUUCAGGUUAUGGUUUGAUAACAAACAUCAUUAAUGGUGGUCUUGAAUGUGGUAAGGGUUGGAAUGCUAAAGUUGAAGAUCGCAUUGGGUUCUAUAAGAGAUACUGUGAUAUACUUGGAGUUGGCUAUGGUAACAAUCUUGACUGCUACAACCAAAAACCAUUUGGAAAUGGGCUUUUGGACUUGGUAGAUGCUCUAUAAUAAAUUUCCGUGUUGUACUCAGAGGAAUAAAAUAAAUAAAACAUGUCUCUCAUUUUCGUUAUCCUAUUUCCUUGAUAAUGGAUUAUUACAUAGCA